CCUACGGGGGGCAGCAGUGGGGGAUAUUGGACAAUGGGGGGGAACCCUGAUCCAGCGACGCCGCGUGAGUGAAGAAGUAUUUCGGUAUGUAAAGCUCUGUCAGCAGGGAAGAAAGCAAUGACGGUACCUGACCAAGAAGCCCCGGCUAACUACGUGCCAGCAGCCGCGGUAAUACGUAGGGGGCAAGCGUUAUCCGGAAUUACUGGGUGUAAAGGGAGCGUAGGCGGGAUGGCAAGUUGGGUGUUAAAUCUACCGGCUCAACUGGUAGUCGCACUCAAAACUGCUAUUCUUGAGUGAAGUAGAGG
rnacentral:rRNA from 1 species